GGGCCCGCACAAGCGGUGGAGUAUGUGGUUUAAUUCGAUGCAACGCGAAGAACCUUACCAGGGCUUGACAUCCUGCGAAUCUCUGGGAAACCGGAGAGUGCCUUCGGGAACGCAGUGACAGGUGGUGCAUGGCUGUCGUCAGCUCGUGUCGUGAGAUGUUGGGUUAAGUCCCGCAACGAGCGCAACCCACGUCUUUAGUUGCCAGCAUUAGUUGGGCACUCUAGAUAGACCGCCGGUGACAAACCGGAGGAAGGUGUGGAUGACGUCAAAUCAUCACGGCCCUUACGUCCUGGGCUACACACGUGCUACAAUGGCCGGUACAGAGAGCAGCCACUACGCGAGUAGGAGCGAAUCUUCAAAGCGGUCUC
rnacentral:rRNA from 1 species